rnacentral:rRNA from 1 species
UAAUGGCCCACCAAGCCUCUGAUGCCUACCGGGCGUGCGAGCGUGGCCCGGCACACUGGGACUGAGACACUGCCCAUACUCCUACGGGAGGCUGCAGUCAAGAAUCUUCGGCAAUGGGCGCAAGCCUGACCGAGCGACGCCGCGUGGAGGAUGAAGGCCUUCGGGUUGUAAACUCCUGUCGAGGGGGAGGAAGGCGCAUGCUUGACCUAUCCCUGGAGGAAGCACGGGCUAAGUUCGUGCCAGCAGCCGCGGUAAGACGAACCGUGCGAACGUUAUUCGGAAUCACUGUGCUUAAAGCGCGUGUAGGCGGAUGGCGACGUCUGUUGUUGAAAGCCCCCGGCUCAACCGGGGAACUGGCGCCGAAACGCCCUGUCUUGAGGAGCGUAGGGCGACCUGCAACUUCCGGUGCAGCGGUGAAAAUG